AUACGGAGGGUGCAAGCGUUGUUCGGAAUUAUUGGGCGUAAAGCGCGUGUAGGCGGCUUGGUAAGUCAGGUGUGAAAGCCCUUAGCUCAACUAAGGAAAGUCAUCUGAAACUGCCAGGCUUGAGUACGGGAGAGGAGAGUGGAAUUCCCGGUGUAGAGGUGAAAUUCGUAGAUAUCGGGAGGAACACCCGUGGCGAAGGCGCCUCUCUGGACCGAUACUGACGCUGAGACGCGAAAGCGUGGGGAGCAAACAGGAUUAGAAACCCCAGUAGUCC
rnacentral:rRNA from 1 species